CUUCAAGAUGGCCAAUUUUGCUUCACACUGGAGUGGUUAGGGGACAGAAGGAAGCAAAGUGGGAGAAGUCCCUGCCUGUAAAGGGAGAGGGAGAUUUUUCCUAAAGGCCACACAGCAAGGCCCAAGGUAGAAAGGAGAUAUGAUUUUUUAAAAAUUAUUAUUCACAAGCUAAUAACCUUUGCACAGUGACACCCUUGCCCCCUCGGGCUUUUUGAUCAAAUGCCUGGUUCUCCUUUUCUGCCAAGACAGACAGGCAGUCAGGGUGCAGCUGCUAAGAACAUAAGACCAGACUUUCUGGGUCUAUAUUCUUAUGAGUCUUGGGGACUUGAGCAAAUGCCUUCUCUUUCGGUGCCUCAGUUUCCUCAUCUGAAAUGAGGCCAGGGUGAGAACCGACCUAAAAAAAAAAAAGGGCUGUUGUGGGGAUUAGACGAAUUAAUAUUUGCAUACAUUUUGAAAAGCGCCUCCCCUGUACCAAGUGCAAGGAAAGUGUUUGAUAAGUAAAUGAGACGCCAGUCCUGGGGAACCUACAGGGUUCCGGGGAGCUUUGAAGUUCAAGGGAAUUUUCAUUUCUUUGGGCGUGGGAGAUUACAACAGGUACCUGUCCCUGGAGGAGUUCACAUUCUAGUAGAGGAGACAGAUAAGAAGGCAAGUCGAAGGAAUUAAUGGACAACAUUAGAAGACAAGCUUAGCCAGAGCGGGUGAGCUCCUUUAGAUAGGGUGGCAGGUAAGUUAACACCCUGAGAGGUGGGGGCCAGGUGACAAGAAGGGAAAGCAGAGGUUGGGAAGAAAGAUGCUCCAGGAAGAGGGGUCGACCACAGAAGAAAGACCCAAGGUCGGCUCGGCUGGUGGGCCAUCCAGCCCGAGGGGGCUGCAGGGAGGGGAGCAUGGAACUGGGGUGUCAGGGUGGGAAGAUUAUUGUGGGGUCAUCCUAGCUUCUGUAAUGGGCAGCAGGGACGAGUUUCCAACUCUUCAGGCCACAUCUGGCAGGACCAUGAAGGUGGCCAGAGAAGGCUCCUGGAGAAAUACCCAUCACCAGACUCCCUCUGGAGGGGGAGGGGGACAGGAGCCUCUGAUGAGGUCAGAGGCAAGGCAGCCUCCUGCUCUGGGCUUCCAGAAGGCUCUGCUGUUUGCCGUUGCCCCAGGGCACACACACACACACACACACAAACCUGCCUGGGAUUAGGAAGCUGGGGAUUAGGAAGGAUAAUAAUUGAACCACCUGCUAUUUAUAUAGAGCACCUUUGGCAAAGACGCUCAGCAGGGCUUCCCAACACAGUGUCCCUUUUAUCCUCACCUCUGCCCCAGGGGUGGGGUGGAGAAGGGGCCCACUGGGCCUGGUUCUGUGUCCACAUAAAAAUCACCUGUCACCAAACAUCAGGGCAGAGAGGCGGUGGAGAUCAGUGGCACAUGGGCAAACAGAGGGGGGUGUGUACCACUUGCCUGUGGUUACCUAGAGAUUAUGGCAGAUAAUUGGUUCCAAUCAGGCACUCCCAUAGCACACAGUCUGGGCUGCCCUGGGUCAUGAGCAUUUGCUCCCGUGCACGCAGAUAUUUACUAAGCAUCUACUAUGUGCCAGGCACUGAGCUAGGCAACGGGGAUGCAGCGGUUGGAAAAAAGAUAAAACCGAGAAAAAAAACCUUCUGCUCUCAAGGAGCGGACAAUCGAAUGGAAUGGGGGAAAUAAACAAAUGGAUAAGUAAACUAUUUAGCUUUUCAAGUGGAAACGGAUACAAUGGGGGAAAGCCCCUUCCUGUGCCAGUUUUGGGAAGGGGUCAGGGACCAUCUCACCUCACCGAGGAGGUGGGAUGGGAAGCCAGAGAGGGCUGUGUCCCUGCACGGCUCCUCGACUCUUCUCUGCUACCCCUGGUGACAGUCUGUCACUGGGUGGCUCAGGCUGGGCUUCCCCAUCACAUCCAGAAUAGAGCCUCUUAGCCCCUCCCCUGUUAGCACCCUGGUCUGAGCCUCCCCGCCCCGCCCCCCCCUCCGGCCCUUGGGUGUCCCAUUUCUACCUGUCCUUCCUGCCACUCAGCAGCCCCAGGGAUCCUUUGAUAUGUGUCCCAUCAGCUCCUUUCCCUGUCGUCAGGGGUCUCCUGGAGAGAUGUGACUGAGCGCAGGAGGGGACCAUCAGGGGCUCCGAAGCUAGGGCUCCGGCAAGUUGACUUAUGUAACUUGGAGAAAAAAAAAAUAUUUUGAGGCUCCGUCUAUGAAAUAGGAAUGACAAGGACGAUCCUGAUACAAGGUGUCACUGGUGGCCUGGAUGUGAACGCAGCCCUAGUAGGAAGGAUCCGGGGUGGGCCUCUGCAGAAAGGACCAAGUACCAGACUCUUCCACACUCAUGGAACAACCUUGCUGGGUCCCCAAAGGUGAGGAGCAAAGCCAGGGACAGGGUGAGUGGACCAGGGCGACUUCGCAGGGCACGCGGGACCCUGCAGGGACCCAGCGCUCCCUGGCACCAGCCCUGCCCACGCCCGGCUCUUCACUUCCCGUCACCCUGGGCCAGCGUCAGCAGGCGAGCCCGCCAGGCUGCUUUUGUGCGGGGCCUGUCAAGAGGCUGGGGCUGCCAAUGACCUAUUUUUCUGGGCAAAGACGAGGCAUUUGGAGUAGAGGCCUCAGCUGUGGAGCCAGAACCAUCAAAAUACAAACAGCACAGACUCCUGGGCAGCCUGCACCGGGAACCAGCUGCCCGGCAGCAAAGCUGCUGACCAGGCUCUAGAGAAAGCAGGGCUGGGGGGCUGGGGGGCCGGGCCCUUGUGUCCCCGGCUCAUCUCUCUCCCUUCCUCCCCACUCACUGUCCUGUCAGCCAACCCUCGUGGCUUUUUGCCUUCAAAGUGAAUGUCCUCCGACCCUCACCCAUUUUGUAGCUGUGAAAACGGAGGCUUCCCAGGGUGGGAGUGGCUUGCCUGAGAUGCACAGCUAAUGGGCGGCCAAGCCCGUCAGGAUUGGAACUCGCUUCUCCAAGAGCAUGACACCGUUUCCCGUUUGCUGAACUUCAGAGUCAUGUUUUGGAACACACUCGGGCCACACCCGAGGGCCUUGCCAGUAACUCCCCGGCUUUACAGCUGACCAAGCUGAGACCUUGAGAGGCCUCUGCUCACAAGCCACGUCCUCAGUGAGGCCUGGCCAGACCACCCUGUCACCGUAGUCCCCCUCGGCCCCGCCCCAGUGACACCCCAGCCUCUUCCCCACUUUGCCUGCCUAGCAGGCUUUGUGGGCCUGCCCAAAUUGUGUGUCUUCGUUGUGUUUUAUCUAUCUUCCUGCCCAGCUACAGUUCAGUCCAGCCUGGCUGCUCAGUGGUUAGCUCUGGAUGUGAUCCUAAGGCUGAAACUCAGACUAUCCCGGGGGCAAAUUCUUUCUUUUUUUUUUUUCUUUUUGGAGGGAAGAUUCGGGAGAUUGAACUCAGAGGCACUCAACCACUGAGCCACAUCCCCAGCCCUAUAUUUUUUGUAUUUUAUUUAGAGACAGAGUCUCAUUGAGUUGCUUAGUGCCUCACUUUUUGCUGAGGCUGGCUUUGAACUCGCGAUCCUCCUGCCUCAGUCUCCAGAGCCACUGGGAUUACAGGCAUGCACCACCGUGCCCAGCCCAGAGGCAAAUUCUUUCAGGAAUUUGCCUCUCACUUAUGAAGAUUGGGUCAAUGAUAGUGUUGAACCUGAACGGUUUUUGUAAGGGUUAAAGAAGUUGAUAUUGAUUAUGCCAAUUGUUUUUUUUUUCCCCAGAACCUCAGCCCCAGGGACCUUCAGCAGUAAAGAGUAGGUUGAUAAUAAAUAUGUAUUAAGUUUAAAAACUGAUUCACUCCAGCUCACAAGGUAGGGAAUCAACAGAGGCAGGUCUCUGCAAACCUGUGUUUCAAAACUCACCCCACUUUAUAAUCACCUCUCCAUCGCACCCCGCCUGUCAUCCAUAGCUGCCCAGGAAAGCAGAGCUGUGGUUCUCCAAACUGAGCAGAUUCCAGCAGCCACUGGAGGGAGGGAUGGUUAAGACACACGCCACGCCCCACCUCCAGAGUGUCUAAUUCAGUGGAGUCAGGUCCUUCCCACCCCAGUGCCAACUGCCUGGAACACGGAGCUGGUUUCUGCCUGAAUUCCACCCUGAGAGCCUCCUCUCUGACAUUCCUUCUCCAGCAAAGAGAGCAACAGGGACCCCAUGGAACAGAUGAAAAGACUGAGGGCCAGAGAGGAACCGUGGCCCCAGACCUCAGCCUGAGACAUGAGGGGCCUCGGGAGAGAACGUUCACCCGGGUUCCAUCUCCUGGCAGUUCUUCUCCCCGGAUUCCAGCCAACGGUCAGCCUUCCAGAAUGGACUUAGGAUUUAGGCAGGAGUUGGGGUCAAGAGUCUCCAGGAAGGUCUCAAACCAAGGUGCAGAUUCUGCUUUAGUGGGUCGUGAGUGGGGCAGAGCUCUGUAUCCCUAACGAACCUCGAAGCCACUGGUCCCCGCCUGGACAGCACCUGGAACAGCCAUGAUUUGAAGGACAGAACCGGCCACAUCUAGUCCAAUGGUCUGAGAUCACAUCUGUCGCUCAGCUUCAAGGCUGUCCAUCAAAUCUCCUUUUGGGGGGGUCCUAGGGAUUGAACCCAGGGGCACUCAACCACUGAGCCACACACUGAGCCCUGUUGUCUAUUUUGUUUAGAGACAGAGUCUCACUAAGUUGCUUAGGGCCUUGCUAAGAGGCUGAGGCUGGCCUUGAACUUGGGAUCCUCCUGUCGCAGCCUUGCGAGUCUCUGGGUUUAUGGAGCGUGCCACUGCACCCGGCGUUCAACGCUCUUGACACAUGAUGCGGUCCCUCCCCUCAGCUGCAGGACCCCGGCUUUGCAGCUAUCACCUCCAAAACCAAAUGGGUCCUUCCCUGACUUCAUGCAAACCCCGUCCUGUCCCCGCGUGGUGGGGGAGCAUCACGGUGGCCCAGUGGGCUGUGGAGCCAGCAGCCCGAGCAGGUUCCAAUUCCACCCCUGCCAGCUACAGGUGGCUCGAUUGUCAUUCAGUUUCUCAUCAGGAAAAUGGAAAAAUCAUGAUAGCCUCUUUACAGGGCUAUUUUGAAGAUUCAAAGGAAUAAUAUAUAUCAGAAGUCUGCCAUACGGACGCACUCAAUAAAUGGGAUAUGGCUUUCCCGCUCUUCCACUUGUCCCUUAAGGUAAUGAUCUAUGUGUGUGUGUGUCUCAUUACUUCAAGUUUUUCUAUUUUUGCGUAUCUUUUAUCAAAUACAUUAUGUUUUAGCAAAAACGUAUAUAAGUGCAUUUAUAAAUAAACACCUAUGUUUAACUUUG